rnacentral:rRNA from 1 species
GCUUACCAAGGCGACGAUACGUAGCCGACCUGAGAGGGUGAUCGGCCACACUGGAACUGAGACACGGUCCAGACUCCUACGGGAGGCAGCAGUAGGGAAUCUUCCGCAAUGGGCGAAAGCCUGACGGAGCAACGCCGCGUGAGUGAUGAAGGUCUUCGGAUCGUAAAACUCUGUUGUUAGGGAAGAACAAAUUUGUUAGUAACUGAACAAGUCUUGACGGUACCUAACCAGAAAGCCACGGCUAACUACGUGCCAGCAGCCGCGGUAAUACGUAGGUGGCAAGCGUUAUCCGGAAUUAUUGGGCGUAAAGNGCGCGUAGGCGGUUUCUUAAGUCUGAUGUGAAAGCCCACGGCUCAACCGUGGAGGGUCAUUGGAAACUGGGAAACUUGAGUGCAGAAGAGGAGAGUGGAAUUCCAUGUGUAGCGGUGAAAUGCGCAGAGAUAUGGAGGAACACCAGUGGCGAAGGCGGCUCUCUGGUCUGUAACUGACGCUGAUGUGCGAAAGCGUGGGGAUCAAACAGGAUUAGAUACCCUGGUAGUCCACGCCGUAAACGAUGAGUGCUAAGUGUUAGGGGGUUUCCGCCCCUUAGUGCUGCAGCUAACGCAUUAAGCACUCCGCCUGGGGAGUACGACCGCAAGGUUGAAACUC